CGGUUCUGGAAGGCCUCUUUCUUGAGUAUCUUUACCAGGUGUGAUCAAAUCUAUGGCGAAUGCUGCUGCCAAAUGCCAUCCAGUAGUAAGUGAGGCUUGGAAAACGUGACACUGUGUCCUCAUCCACCUUAUUCACUGGAUCUGGCAUCGUGGGACUUCUGACCCAAAGUCAAAAUAACCAGGAAAGGUCAACAUUUUUAAUCGAUUUAGGACAUUGAUGCAGCCACAACAAUGCAGCUAAUGACAGAACACGUGCAGAGCCACUUCAGAAAGUGACAGGAAUGAUGGGGGACUUAUUUCUACUUCUGCCUCUUCAUGGGUGGACUGUUGGACCGCCAGAGGUUUUAGAAUCGGGAAACUCAGAGACCCUGUAUUGAAACAUACAGAGACGAACGGUGAACAGUGGAUCUGAGGACAAAUAGGUCAAGGGCUGGCAUAGCACAGUGACCAGGUAAGUGACAAAAAUAAUUCACAAAUUAACAGAAGACCAUGGUUCAUAAAUA
rnacentral:lncRNA from 1 species